AGGACGAACGCUGGCGGCGUGCUUAACACAUGCAAGUCACGGGGGCCCGCAAGGGCAACCGGCGAACGGGUGCGUAACACGUGACCAACCUGCCCUUGUGUGGGGGAUAGCCGGGCUAACGCCCGGGUAAUACCGCAUACGGUCCCUUGGGGGAGUCCCUGGGGGAAGAAAGCUCUGGCGCACGAGGAGGGGGUCGCGGCCUAUCAGCUAGUUGGCGAGGUAAUGGCUCACCAAGGCGACGACGGGUAGCCGGCCUGAGAGGGCGACCGGCCACGACUGGGACUGAGACACGGCCCAGACUCCUACGGGAGGCAGCAGUGGGGAAUAUUGCGCAAUGGGCGAAAGCCUGACGCAGCGACGCCGCGUGGGGGAUGAAGGCCUUCGGGUUGUAAACCCCUUUCAGCAGGGACGAAGCGAAAGUGACGGUACCUGCAGAAGAAGCACCGGCUAACUACGUGCCAGCAGCCGC
rnacentral:rRNA from 1 species